AACGAACGCUGGCGGCAUGCCUAACACAUGCAAGUCGAACGAGAUCCUUCGGGGUCUAGUGGCGCACGGGUGCGUAACGCGUGGGAAUCUGCCCUUUGCUUCGGAAUAACAGUUAGAAAUGACUGCUAAUACCGGAUGAUGUCUUCGGACCAAAGAUUUAUCGGCAAGGGAUGAGCCCGCGUAGGAUUAGGUAGUUGGUGGGGUAAAGGCCUACCAAGCCGACGAUCCUUAGCUGGUCUGAGAGGAUGAUCAGCCACACUGGGACUGAGACACGGCCCAGACUCCUACGGGAGGCAGCAGUGGGGAAUAUUGGACAAUGGGCGCAAGCCUGAUCCAGCAAUGCCGCGUGAGUGAUGAAGGCCUUCGGGUCGUAAAGCUCUUUUACCAGGGAUGAUAAUGACAGUACCUGGAGAAUAAGCUCCGGCUAACUCCGUGCCAGCCGCCGCGGUAAGAC
rnacentral:rRNA from 1 species